rnacentral:rRNA from 1 species
GUAGGGGGCGAGCGUUGUCCGGAUUUACUGGGCGUAAAGGGUGAGUAGGCGGUUGUGUAUGUCAGAUGUAAAAGGCUAUGGCUUAACUAUAGUAAGCAUUUGAAACUGUACGACUUGAGUGCAGGAGAGGUAAGUGGAAUUCCUAGUGUAGCGGUGAAAUGCGUAGAUAUUAGGAGGAACACCAGUGGCGAAGGCGACUUACUGGACUGUAACUGACGCUGAGUCACGAAAGCGUGGGUAGCAAACAGGAUUAGAUACCCUGGUAGUCCACGCUGUAAACGAUGAGUGCUAGGUGUUGGGUAGCGAUAUUCAGUGCCGAAGUUAACACAAUAAGCACUCCGCCUGGGGAGUACGGUCGCAAGACUG